UACGUAGGGGGCUAGCGUUGUCCGGAUUUAUUGGGCGUAAAGAGCGUGUAGGCGGCCAUGUAGGUCCGGUGUGAAAACUCGAGGCUUAACCUCGAGAUGUCAUCGGAAACCAUUUGGCUAGAGUCCGGAAGAGGAGAGUGGAAUUCCUGGUGUAGCGGUGAAAUGCGCAGAUAUCAGGAAGAACACCAUGGCGAAAGCAGCUCUCUGGAACGGUACUGGACGCUGAGACGCGAAAGCGUGGGGAGCGAACAGG
rnacentral:rRNA from 1 species